rnacentral:rRNA from 1 species
GACGUAGGGUGCGAGCGUUGUCCGGAUUUAUUGGGCGUAAAGAGCUCGUAGGCGGCUCGUCGCGUCGACCGUGAAAACCCGCGGCUUAACCGCGGGCUUGCGGUUGAUACGGGCGGGCUAGAGUUCGGUAGGGGAGACUGGAAUUCCUGGUGUAGCGGUGAAAUGCGCAGAUAUCAGGAGGAACACCGGUGGCGAAGGCGGGUCUCUGGGCCGAUACUGACGCUGAGGAGCGAAAGCCAGGGGAGCGAACGGG